rnacentral:tRNA from 2 species
GCGAGAGUGGCGGAAUUGGUAGACGCACUGGAUUUAGGUUCCAGCGCCGCAAGGCGUGGGGGUUCGACUCCCUUCUCUCGCA